rnacentral:rRNA from 1 species
AUUGAACGCUGGCGGCAUGCCUUACACAUGCAGGUCGAACGGCAGCACGGGAGCAAUCCUGGUGGCGAGUGGCGAACGGGUGAGUAAUAUAUCGGAACGUGCCCGGUCGUGGGGGAUAACGUAGCGAAAGCUACGCUAAUACCGCAUACGAUCUACGGAUGAAAGCGGGGGAUCGCAAGACCUCGCGCGAUUGGAGCGGCCGAUAUCAGAUUAGGUAGUUGGUGAGGUAAAGGCUCACCAAGCCGACGAUCUGUAGCUGGUCUGAGAGGACGACCAGCCACACUGGGACUGAGACACGGCCCAGACUCCUACGGGAGGCAGCAGUGGGGAAUUUUGGACAAUGGGCGCAAGCCUGAUCCAGCAAUGCCGCGUGCAGGAUG